GGCCAGGCCCGGGCGCCGCAGGCUUCCUCCGGCUGAGCGUCGGUUUCUCCGGCGGCGGCGCUCGCAGCCUCCGCUGACGGUCCGCGCCAGAAAGCGUCCCCCUCCCCGGCCCGAGCGCCCGGCCUCCCGGACGGGAACACGCGCCGCCGACAGGAAAGUUCCGCUGAGAACCUAGCGGAGGCCCCUCUUUUCCCGCGCGGGGUGGACCGCGAUUCCUCACUGAACUGAGCCGUCUUUGGUAUAGAGAACUGUUUCAAGAGUGAACGAAAAAUGGAAAUUUCAGCCUGAAAAGAAGCAAGGACAAGAAAGGGCUUUCUUGAUCACUGACACUCGGGGAGGUUAAGGAUGCAGGUUCUCCUCCCUCAAGUUGGGAAUUACUGCCAUGUGGGCCCCAGGAGCUUCUCUGACAACUUGGAUGAUGUUACGCCCUCAUCAUCGCCUUUGGAGAUAACGCUACCCCCAAUUCACUUCACCUCUCUCCCUUUAUAAGAUUGCGAGGCCAAGGCAAAAGGAUCUUGUCAGUCUUAUCAGGAUCACCAAGACUGAGGACAGCCACAGAAGAGUUCAAUAAAUAUGCUUAACAAACAAAAA